GUGUUUCAAUUUAUUUUUGCCAACAAAAUACAUUCAAAGUGUGGUAUGUGUGUGUAACGUAGGCCGAUUUCUCGAGCCUACAAAAGGUGCACGUGGUGUCAAGUGAGGGUUCACUGGAAAAACUCCGGGGAGUGCACAUGCCCGUUCGUUACGGGCCAGCAAGCAUCCCCAGGGCGUUCUCGGUAAUGAUCCUUCCACAGGUUCACCUACAGAAA
rnacentral:misc_RNA from 1 species